GGCUCCUCGUAAAACACAAAUGGGGAGUCGGACCUGCCCGGUGAAUUUUUUAACGGCCGCGGUACUCUGACCGUGCAAAGGUAGCAUAAUAAUUUGCCUUAUAAUUGAAGGCUGGUAUGAAUGGUUUGACAAGAAUAUAACUGUCUCUUCGUGAUUUUAUAGAAUUUUAUAUUUAGGUGAAGAAGCCUAAUUGUAAUUAAAAGACAAGAAGACCCUAUCGAGCUUUAAAAAAAUUAAUAGAUUAUAAAUUAAUUUAUCAAAAAAUUCUUCUAUUAAAUAUUUUAGUUGGGGCGACUAAGGAACGGAAAAAGCUUCCUUUUAAGUUUAAAUACUUACAAGCAAUGAUCCAGAAGUUUUGAUUAAAGGAAUUAGUUACCGUAGGGAUAACAGCAUUAUCUUUUUUAAGAGUUCUUAUCGAAAAAAAGGUUUGUGACCUCGAUGUUGGACCAGAAUAUCCCAAAGAUGCAGCAGUCUUUAAAGGUUGGUCUGUUCGACCAUUAAAAUUCUACG
rnacentral:rRNA from 1 species